AGAUGUUAAAAGCAAGAGACAUGGGAGAUCAUCAUUCCCUUGAGAUUUUAUAACUCAAACCAACUUUGGAGUUGUCUGAUUUGGAGAGUCAUUAUUCUUGGUCUUCGCUCUUAGAGGCCACUGAUGAAGAGCAGGCGGUGACUGGGAUGAAUGCUGGUCAGAGAGGAGAAUCUUCUUUCCCCUAAACAGCGGUGGUUUUAAAGGAGGACGCUGCCCUGGAUGAUGUAGAAGAUGUCACAUGCUGUGCUGAUGGGGCUUCUUCAUGAUUACAUCAGUUAUGCUAAAGAGAUCAUGAAAAUUGACCGUGAUGCAUGAUCUGUAUUCAUGGACAAUGAAACAAACUGUAAGUGUAUAAUUUGUAAAAAAAAAAAAGUUAAAUGCUUUUUCUGUGUUGUUUAGUAGAAAAGUUUACACUCUGUCAUUCAUACACCUGCUAACAUUCUUUCACACACACACACACACACACACACGCGUCUGCUAAAGGUUAUAAUAUCAAAGUUAAUGUUGUGAUUUAUUUGUGUACUGUCAUGCCAGAAUAGUUGGAAAAAAAACUAAUUGUAAAUUUAUUGUAUGUGUUUUCGUAUAUUUUUAUACAAUAUAUACAAUUGAACAAAGUCCAAUUUGAUCUUAAGUUAUAUUCAUCAAAUGUUCAAUGCUUUGUUUAUGAACUCUGUAGCUGUUAAUGCCAUCCUUUUCUGCAUUUCUUCUAACAUGUUACUUUUUGACUUUUCUCUUGUUUUUAAUAAAUAUUUUCCUUUUGGUAA